CCUGAGAAACCCAAAAGAUCGAAUGGGGAGAUUCAUCGUCAGCUCAUUUUGUAUAUGUAUGAGUUACGAUGCGGGUUACUACUUGUAGUAUUGCCUGCACGUUCUUAUAUAUUUAGUUGCAAGAUGUUGUCGGCGUGCACUUCUUCCCUAGUAGGACGUCGCGACCCGUUGGGUGUCGGUCUACGGCCCAAGUGAUAGCCUUUAAUGUAAUUUAAAAAUCAUUGAAGAUCCUUGGUGUUUUCUGACCGGCUACUCGGCGGUACUCGUACGGUAUUUAGCCGCUAAUUUAUUAGCGUCCAUGUCCGUCACAAGCGAGGCCAAUUUACUGAUAGUGCGGACCUAGUGCCGUCGUUGGUAUUGGCCAGCUGUUGGUUGUACGUGAUUCUGGGACUGGCUAAAAUUAAUUACCGGUCGGCGAUGCUACUGCUUUGGGUACUUUCAGG
rnacentral:rRNA from 1 species